rnacentral:rRNA from 1 species
CCUACGGGAGGCAGCAGUGGGGAAUUUUGGACAAUGGGCGAAAGCCUGAUCCAGCCAUGCCGCGUGCAGGAUGAAGGCCUUCGGGUUGUAAACUGCUUUUGUACGGAACGAAAAGCCUCUUUCUAAUAAAGAGGGGUCAUGACGGUACCGUAAGAAUAAGCACCGGCUAACUACGUGCCAGCAGCCGCGGUAAUACGUAGGGUGCGAGCGUUAAUCGGAAUUACUGGGCGUAAAGCGUGCGCAGGCGGUUAUAUAAGACAGUUGUGAAAUCCCCGGGCUCAACCUGGGAACUGCAUCUGUGACUGUAUAGCUAGAGUACGGUAGAGGGGGAUGGAAUUCCGCGUGUAGCAGUGAAAUGCGUAGAUAUGCGGAGGAACACCGAUGGCGAAGGCAAUCCCCUGGACCUGUACUGACGCUCAUGCACGAAAGCGUGGGGAGCAAACAGGAUUAGAUACCCUGGUAGUCCACGCCCUAAACGAUGUCAACUGGUUGUUGGGAAUUCACUUUCUCAGUAACGAAGCUAACGCGUGAAGUUGACCGCCUGGGGAGUACGGCCGCAAGGUUGAAACUCAAAANAGAGUUAGACGGCGUGAGAGUAGCCGACGGACGACGACGAGGGAGGAGGG